rnacentral:snoRNA from 1 species
GGCCAGAUGACUGUGAUGUGAUCUUUCCAAGCACAUAUCCGACUGCUCCAUGUGGAAAUCAAGUAUUCCUGAGUCUUCUGGCC